UUUUUUUUAGUUAUCACACACAAAGUGACUAAAUGAUGUGUGUCUUUAACACAAGUUGGCUAAAUCGUGUCGUUUCGCGUCGGUUGCCGCGUUGCCAUGGUAACUGUACACAAUUGAAUGCUGCUUUUUGGAGUGCCCACGGCUUCCGACUUUAUACAGAUACAGGCGUCUACUUGCUGACCAGCGGGGUUACAACUCAAGACUCAAAAUGGAGCUGACAGGAAGCAGUUACAAGGGGACGACGCUAAAUCGCAGGAUGGAGGGAGAAGGGGAGUACACCUUCCCCUCGCAGACCAAGUACAUCGGGGAGAUGAAAGACGGGAUGUUCCACGGCACAGGGGUGCUCCACUUCCUGAAUGGAAGCAAGUACGAGGCCACCUGGGAGAAUGGCAUCGCGAUACAGGGCUCGUUCACCUUCGCUGACGGCCUGCCCUACCAGGAGAAGGACUGGGACUACUGUGACGGCCAGGACCGACGCUUCUACACGGAGCGAUGCCACGGACUCCGACCCGCAGGUGAAUCCCAGCUCACAGACCUGCAUCCGCCGCGCGACAUUCCUGGCGGCUGCUACGACUGCGGGGACGGUUUCUACGAGCCCACCACCAGGACCAUCACCUCCUACGACGGGACCUUCCUCAGAAUGGCAGACGACUCUGAGCAUGCGUGGAUCGUGCGAUUUUGUCGCAAGGCCGACUGCCCCCCUCCCCCUCCGGAGGCGGAAGAAGAAGAAGAAGAAACAGAAACAAAAGUAGAAGAAGAAGAAGAAAAAGAAGAAGAAGAAGAAAAAGAAGAAGAAGCAAAAGAAGCAGAACAAGAAGAAGAAUCCGGUUCCAGUGUGGACUAACAAGGAUGUAAGAAUCACAUUCAGAUUGGAGAAAACACGCUGACCAGGCGCUCGGAGCGGUCUAAUUGCUGGUCUGGAGGUCUGGAGGUGGAGGCCGACUAAUUGCUGGUAUCGAUCCAGGAUCUCCAGGCCGCAGCUGGCGCACAGGUUCUUGCCGCCGGACGGCGCCGAGCUGGCGGUGGAGGCGGGCGAGCACACCGAGGGCGUGCAG